rnacentral:sRNA from 1 species
AGAGUUUGAUCCUGGCUCAGGACGAACGCUGGCGGCGUGCCUAAUACAUGCAAGUCGAGCGAAUCAAAGGGAGCUUGCUCCCUGAGAUUAGCGGCGGACGGGUGAGUAACACGUGGGCAACCUGCCUAUAAGACUGGGAUAACUUCGGGAAACCGGAGCUAAUACCGGAUAAUGUUUUUUGACUCAUGUUGAGAAACUGAAAGAUGGCGUCACGCUAUCACUUAUAGAUGGGCCCGCGGCGCAUUAGCUAGUUGGUGAGGUAACGGCUCACCAAGGCGACGAUGCGUAGCCGACCUGAGAGGGUGAUCGGCCACACUGGGACUGAGACACGGCCCAGACUCCUACGGGAGGCAGCAGUAGGGAAUCUUCCGCAAUGGACGAAAGUCUGACGGAGCAACGCCGCGUGAGUGAUGAAGGUUUUCGGAUCGUAAAACUCUGUUGUUAGGGAAGAACAAGUACCGUUCGAAUAGGGCGGUACCUUGACGGUACCUAACCAGAAAGCCACGGCUAACUACGUGCCAGCAGCCGCGGUAAUACGUAGGUGGCAAGCGUUGUCCGGAAUUAUUGGGCGUAAAGCGCGCGCAGGCGGUCUCUUAAGUCUGAUGUGAAAGCCCCCGGCUCAACCGGGGAGGGUCAUUGGAAACUGGGAGACUUGAGUGCAGAAGAGAAGAGCGGAAUUCCACGUGUAGCGGUGAAAUGCGUAGAGAUGUGGAGGAACACCAGUGGCGAAGGCGGCUCUUUGGUCUGUAACUGACGCUGAGGCGNUUGACGUUAUGAUUUGUUUAGUUUUGAGAGAGCAAUUCUCUCUAAAAGAAUAUGAUAACUCAUUAUGUGGGCCUAUAGCUCAGCUGGUUAGAGCGCACGCCUGAUAAGCGUGAGGUCGAUGGUUCGAGUCCAUUUAGGCCCACCAUCAUAUAAUGGGGCCUUAGCUCAGCUGGGAGAGCGCCUGCCUUGCACGCAGGAGGUCAGCGGUUCGAUCCCGCUAGGCUCCACCAAAAAUCCGAUAGCUUUUUGAACGGGUUUUUUAAAUUCUCUUAAGCAAUCUCACGAUUGCACAUUUGUUCCUUGAAAACUAGAUAAUGAAAUGAAGAAGAACCAAGAAAUUACCGAGUAAUCGCCAUUUUAGUUUUUCUCUCUUAUGUAAGUAAGAGUAAUCAUCAUAACGNAGAGAUAGGGCGUUCCCCUUCGGGGGACGGAGUGACAGGUGGUGCAUGGUUGUCGUCAGCUCGUGUCGUGAGAUGUUGGGUUAAGUCCCGCAACGAGCGCAACCCUUGUCCUUAGUUGCCAGCAUUCAGUUGGGCACUCUAAGGAGACUGCCGGUGACAAACCGGAGGAAGGUGGGGAUGACGUCAAAUCAUCAUGCCCCUUAUGACCUGGGCUACACACGUGCUACAAUGGAUGGUACAAAGGGCAGCGAAGCCGCGAGGUGAAGCGAAUCCCAUAAAACCAUUCUCAGUUCGGAUUGUAGGCUGCAACUCGCCUACAUGAAGCCGGAAUCGCUAGUAAUCGCGGAUCAGCAUGCCGCGGUGAAUACGUUCCCGGGCCUUGUACACACCGCCCGUCACACCACGAGAGUUUGUAACACCCGAAGUCGGUGGGGUAACCGUAAGGAGCCAGCCGCCUAAGGUGGGACAGAUGAUUGGGGUGAAGUCGUAACAAGGUAGCCGUAUCGGAAGGUGCGGCUGG